rnacentral:rRNA from 1 species
GAUGAACGCUGGCGGCGUGCCUAAUACAUGCAAGUCGAGCGAACAGACGAGGAGCUUGCUCCUCUGACGUUAGCGGCGGACGGGUGAGUAACACGUGGAUAACCUACCUAUAAGACUGGGAUAACUUCGGGAAACCGGAGCUAAUACCGGAUAAUAUAUUGAACCGCAUGGUUCAAUAGUGAAAGACGGUUUUGCUGUCACUUAUAGAUGGAUCCGCGCCGCAUUAGCUAGUUGGUAAGGUAACGGCUUACCAAGGCGACGAUGCGUAGCCGACCUGAGAGGGUGAUUGGCCACCCUAGAACUGAGACACGGUCCAGACUCCUACGGGAGGCAGCAGUAGGGAAUCUUCCGCAAUGGGCGAAAGCCUGACGGAGCAACGCCGCGUGUGUUAUGAAGGUCUUCGGAUCGUAAAACUCUGUUAUUAGGGAAGAACAAAUGUGUAAGUAACUAUGCACGUCUUGACGGUACCUAAUCAGAAAGCCACGGCUAACUACGUG